rnacentral:tRNA from 1 species
GGUCCUAUGGUGUAAUGGUUAGCACUCUGGACUCUGAAUCCAGCGAUCCGGGUUCAAAUCCCGGUAGGACCU